AAUGAACGUUGGCGGCGUGGAUUAGGCAUGCAAGUCGUACGAGAAUCGUAGCAAUACGAGGAAAGUGGCGGAAGGGAGAGGAUUACGUGGGAAUCUACCCUCAGGACUGGGAUAGCGGCGGGAAACUGCCGGUAAUACCAGAUAAUGUCUGUGGACCAAAGGUGUGAUUCCGUCUGGGGAUGAGCCCACGUCCUAUUCGCUAGUUGGCAGGGUAAUGGCCUACCAAGGCAAUGAUGGGUAGCGGGUGGGAGAGCAUGACCCGCCACACUGGGACUGAGAGCUGCCCAGACACCGACGGGUGGCUGCAGUCGAGAAUCUUCGGCAAUGAGCGCAAGCUUGACCGAGCGACGCCGCGUGCGGGAUGAAGGCCUUCGGGUUGUAAACCGCUGUCGUAGGGGAGCAAGAGAUGAGGGUACUCCCUCUGAUUUGAGCGAUCCUAGGAGGAAGGACGGGCUAAGUUCGUGCCAGCCGCCGCAGUAACAC
rnacentral:rRNA from 1 species